CAUGGCUUGAUGAGUGGUGAGUAUGUCCACGCCAGGAUCUGAACCAGUGAACCCCAGGCUGCUGAAGCGGAAUGUGCAGACUUAACUGCUGCGCCACCAGGCCGGCCCCAU